UACGUAGGGGGCGAGCGUUGUCCGGAAUUAUUGGGCGUAAAGAGCGUGUAGGCGGUUCGGUAAGUCUGCCGUGAAAACCUGGGGCUCAACCCUGGGCGUGCGGUGGAUACUGCCGGGCUAGAGGGUGGUAGAGGCGAGUGGAAUUCCCGGUGUAGCGGUGAAAUGCGCAGAUAUCGGGAGGAACACCAGUGGCGAAGGCGGGUCUCUGGGCCGAUACUGACGCUGAGGCGCGAAAGCGUGGGGAGCAAACAGG
rnacentral:rRNA from 1 species